GACGUAGGGCGCGAGCGUUGUCCGGAUUUAUUGGGCGUAAAGAGCUCGUAGGCGGUUUGUCGCGUCUGCUGUGAAAACCCGAGGCUCAACUUCGGGCUUGCAGUCGAUACGGGCAGGCUAGAGUUCGGUAGGGGAGACUGGAAUUCCUGGUGUAGCGGUGAAAUGCGCAGAUAUCAGGAGGAACACCGGUGGCGAAGGCGGGUCUCUGGGCAACUACUGACGCUGAGGAGCGAAAGCGUGGGGAGCGAACAGG
rnacentral:rRNA from 1 species